rfam:Schistosoma rodhaini strain Burundi genome assembly, scaffold: SROB_scaffold0001339
GCACUACUAAUGAGUCCCACAAUUGGACGAAACGGCCGUCCAGUGC